CGCGGCGUGCCCGUGCGGGAGCCAAUCAGCGAGCGCGGGAGGCGGGCGCAGGGGGCUCAAGGCCGCUAUUUUCCCCCCAGUUUUGUGCCCGUGAGAGGCAGCGGAGGGGCUGGGGAAGGGUAGAAAGCUGCGGUCCAAGCUCGUCGGUACCCCCCACCAGCCGCCUCUCCCGCUCCCCGGCCGCGCUCACCUUCCUGCGCUGCAUCCUGGGCGGGGGCAGCGAGCUCGCCUGGUCCCCGGCGCCCGCGGCCCGCGAGGCGGCGGUGGCCGCCGCCGUGUUAGCGCUCGCGGGCUCCGUGGUGACAGCCGUGUCUCCCGCCCUGCGGCACGUCUGCUCCGGCGGCGCCAGCCCCGCUCCCGCCGCUUCCAGCUGCCGUUCCCUGCUCGGUCCCUCACGUUUCCGCCGGGACGCGGCCCACACCCCUCGUCACGUGACCGCGAGCCAUCUUGGAGCCGGGCAAAGCAUCACCGUGACGCCGCCGGCAGUGAAGCCGCGCGCCGCCAUCUUUGAUCCGGGCCGGGCGCUCUUGGCGCGGGGCGCAGUGGCGGCGGCUAUUUUGAGUGUGUCCAGCCUCCUGUGAAAUGCUGAAGGGCAAACCUGGAGAAGGGAUGAAAUCCCUCGGCUCUUAUCCCAGCAGGGAGGAACUGGGGAGCACUUGGUGUGGUGCCAUCUCAGCCCAGCUCUGGGGAGUUGAGUUACCCAAAGGUUGGGAUGGAGCUGGAGAGCUGGAAAUAUCCAGAUGUGAAGAUCCAGGGUAGCUGCUGCUUUCACUCCCCCAUCUUCAGAAGGAGCAGCUGUGGGGUCCCAGCAGUGGGAGGAGGAGGAGGAGGAUGCAGCAGGUAGGGAACAGGUUUGAUUGGAGCUGCAGCUCCUGCUUUAAAUUGCUUUGGGGAUAACUGAGUGAUUCCUCUCCCUGUGUCCCUUUCCAUGCCCUGUUCCAGGGCUGGCAGUGGACAGGGGUGAUUGCUUUGAAGUGCUCUCCUGCUUUCUGGAUGAUUCACACCGGUAGGAGAGGCUUCCUGCCUUGCCAUGACUUAGGGAAAAGCUCCAUUUCAUAAUGUCUCCUUACUCUUAGCAGGGCUUGUGUCUGUUCCCAAAACUCCCACUGUUUUCACUGCAGGCAUGACCAGACUGUGAAAUAGCUUGGCUGGGCUGGUGAAUAAUCUCUGAGGCUCUUUUAAUAAACUGCAGUUUUAUUUA